rnacentral:pre_miRNA from 1 species
CUUCCCAAUCUCCUCUAUCUCCUCUUCUCAAACACAGCCUAAGGGAGUGUUUGAAGAGAAGGGGAUUGAGGAGAUUGGGAAG